GAAAUCCUGGCACUGUACUGUCGGGCACACACACUGUGACUGCAGCAUUCAGCCUUGCAAAACUGACACGAGAAUUUGCUAGUCCAGGCACAAAACCUGCCCUAUCAGAUGGGAACAUGGAAGGACAGCAUUUUGUUCAAGGUCUAAGUAAACCUAUGAUUGACUCAAGAACAGAACCAAGGUUUGCUGAUUCCCAUCCUGUACUUUAGCCAUAAGUCAAUCCACAGAGUGUGCCCAUUUUCAAGUAUCUAGUAGCAGAGGAAGAUCACAGGGGAAAAAGAACUUGGAGGAGCUACGGAGUACUAAUCAGAGAAGACAAUGAACAUGACACUGCUGGCCAUGACACUAGAAAGAUGUGCAAACUAAGGCAUGGAGAGGUGUCGGAUCACACCCUGAUCCAGUUGUAAAAUCGGCAUAACUCAGCUGAAAUCAGCAAAGCAAGGCAGCUUAACACCAACUAAAGUUCUGGUCCAGAGACUUGCCCAUGGUCACAUAGCAACUCAAGAUGUGCAGCAAGGAGGCAUGGCACCCCUCAGAGAUGGAUGCAAAGGGAAUACCACAAGCCACCUGGUGGGCAGAUCCAGGAGGACCAUGCCUUGCACACUGGAAGGAAAGGGGUGGUGUGACCCUGCAUGUUGAGCUGGGUCAGCCCUGUUGCUUCCAUACAGGGGUGGUACACCCCAUCACCCAGUCAUCAGGACUCCCUGUUAAGCAGCAGACCAAACUACGAGGAGGCAUGGCCUCCUUCAGAAGCAGACACGGAGGGACGAUGACGCAGCUUACAGAUGCCUGGUCAUAAAUGUUCCUGUUAUUAUUUACCAGAUACAUUUCUAUAGUGCCUUUUGCAGUAGCUGGCUUGUAAAGGCAUGUUAGAAAUACCUCCAAAGUCUACAAAGAAAACAAAAUGAAUAUAUUUUAUAACAACCACUAUGUGUGAGCCAUCUGCCUUUCUUUUAAUCGCUUUGCAUCAGUUUUCCACCAUGUCUUCUGUACAGCAGUAAUAUGUGGCCUGCUAGAACAGGCAGCAUUGGAGGUAUAUUUUGCCCAAUGUACCGGGUUCCUGGGCAAAUGUACCUCUUAGGAAUAAAUAUGUUUUUAUACCUAAA